CACAAGCGGUGGAUGAUAUGGAUUAAUUCGAUGCAACGCGAAAACCUUACCUACCCUUGACAUGUCCGGAAUCCCGAAGAGAUUUGGGAGUGCUCGCAAGAGAACCGGAACACAGGUGCUGCAUGGCUGUCGUCAGCUCGUGUCGUGAGAUGUUGGGUUAAGUCCCGCAACGAGCGCAACCCUUGUCAUUAGUUGCCAUCAUUUGGUUGGGCACUCUAAUGAGACUGCCGGUGACAAACCGGAGGAAGGUGGGGAUGACGUCAAGUCCUCAUGGCCCUUAUGGGUAGGGCUUCACACGUCAUACAAUGGUCGGUACAGAGGGUUGCCAACCCGCGAGGGGGAGCUAAUCCCACAAAGCCGAUCGUAGUCCGGAUCGCAGUCUGCAACUCGACUGCGUGAAGUCGGAAUCGCUAGUAAUCGUGGAUCAGCAUGUCACGGUGAAUACGUUCCCGGGUCUU
rnacentral:rRNA from 1 species